rnacentral:rRNA from 1 species
AUUGAACGCUGGCGGCAUGCCUUACACAUGCAAGUCGAACGGCAGCGGGCCUUCGGGUGCCGGCGAGUGGCGAACGGGUGAGUAAUGCAUCGGAACGUGCCAUUGAGUGGGGGAUAACGUAGCGAAAGUUGCGCUAAUACCGCAUAUUCUGUGAGCAGGAAAGCAGGGGACCGCAAGGCCUUGCGCUCUUUGAGCGGCCGAUGUCAGAUUAGCUAGUUGGUGAGGUAAAGGCUUACCAAGGCGACGAUCUGUAGCGGGUCUGAGAGGAUGAUCCGCCACACUGGAACUGAGACACGGUCCAGACUCCUACGGGAGGCAGCAGUGGGGAAUUUUGGACAAUGGGGGCAACCCUGAUCCAGCCAUGCCGCGUGAGUGAAGAAGGCCUUCGGGUUGUAAAGCUCUUUCGGCCCGGGAAGGAAAUCGCAUGGGUGAAUACCCUGUGUGGAUGACGGUACCGGAACAAGAAGCACCGGCUAACUACGUGCCAGCAGCCGCGGUAA